GUCCCGGGGAAUUGUCGAUCACACAUGACUCUGAAAAUUACAGAAACGCAUCAACCUGUUGCGAGUGUUUGCUAAAAUGGAUACAUUACGGAGGAGUAAACACAAAAAUAAUGUUCAAGAUGUCAUUGCUAAGCAAUUCUUCUAUAUCAAAAUUAAUACGAGGAGGACUAAUACUCACCUCCGAUGUGCUGUCCGUCUAUCAGUGACAGGAUCGACACCAACACAAAC